GACGAACGCUGGCGGCGUGCUUAACACAUGCAAGUCGAACGAUGGGGCGAAGGGGUGAGUUUUACGUGUGACACGUGCCCUUUACUGGGAGAUAAGCCUGAGAAACGGGGUCUUAUACUGCAUUGUUGGGGAUGGGCUCGCGGCCUAUCAGCUUGUUGGUGGGGUGAUGGCCUACCAAGGCGGUGACGGGUAGCCGGCCUGAGAGGGUGGCCGGCCACAUUGGGACUGAGAGACGGCCCAGACUCCUACGGGAGGCAGCAGUGGGGGAUAUUGCACAAUGGGCGCAAGCCUGAUGCAGCGACGCCGCGUGGGGGAUGAAGGCUUUCGGGUUGUAAACCUCUUUCGGUACCGAACGGGUAUGUGCAGAAGAAGCGCCGGCUAACUACGUGCCAGCAGCCGCGGUAAUUC
rnacentral:rRNA from 1 species